CUUUUUAUUCAAAUGCUCUAGAAGGAUUGUUAUCUCUUCCUUCUCAGUGGAUCUCACAACCUGAUCUUUCCUUCUAAUACAGUGUUUGGGAACAGAGAACAAGUAAGAAUGGACAGAGGAGUACCAUGUGCUGACUGACGAACACCUGGGGGCUUAUGGGUGGAAUGCAAGCUAUUGGAAGUAUUUGAAGAUGUGACCAAGGAAGCUAUGAGAAUUGGAAAUGAGGCAGUUGUUUAGAAAUGGGCUGAUGUGUUUGUGGUAAGGUGGAAGGAGGAAGGCAGAUGAGGAAAGGAAUGUGCAAC
rnacentral:lncRNA from 1 species